GGGCCCGCACAAGCGGUGGAGCAUGUGGUUUAAUUCGAUGAUACGCGAGGAACCUUACCAGGGCUUAAAUGCAGAGCGACAGAGGUGGAAACACCUCCUUCUUCGGACGGUCUGCAAGGUGCUGCAUGGUUGUCGUCAGCUCGUGCUGUGAAGUGUCGGGUUAAGUCCCAUAACGAGCGCAACCCCUAUUUCUAGUUGCCAGCGGUUCGGCCGGGGACUCUAGAGAAACUGCCAGCGUAAGCUGUGAGGAAGGUGGGGAUGACGUCAAAUCAUCACGGCCCUUACGUCCUGGGCCACACACGUGCUACAAUGGUAAGGACAGAGAGUUGCCAACCCGCGAGGGUGAGCUAAUCUUCAAAGCCGAUCACAGUUCGGAUCGGAGUCUGCAACUCGACUCCGUGAAGCUGGAAUC
rnacentral:rRNA from 1 species